rnacentral:tRNA from 1 species
GAGGGUAUAGCUCAGUGGUAGAGUGCAUGCUUAGCAUGCAUGAGGUCCUGGGUUCAAUCUCCAGUACCUCCA